rnacentral:snoRNA from 1 species
GCACUCGACGAUGAUGAGAUCAUCUUCUACAUCGUGGCUGGCCUCGACAUGGAGUACCAACCGCUCAUCCCUCGAUGCACGCGUUGAACCCGUCACCCUUGACAAACUAUUCGCUUAGAUGAGCAACUUCGAUC